ensembl:lncRNA
UAGAAAUGAGUAUGUAAAUAAAAUUCCAUACAUUUUUGAAUGUAUAAAAUAAAUUAAACUAAAAUUAUUAUAACAUUGUGGCUUUGGCAGAAGUAAGAAUGCAGUUUUUCUUGGAACAUGCUACUGGUGAUAAGGUAAUCUUGUGUUUAGUUACCAAGAAGCAGAGAGACAACAAGCUCUAGAGAAUACUUAGUCUAAAAAAACAUGAAACUAACCUGGAAUGCAGUCAAGAGAAAGCUUAUGAUUGGUAAAUCGGAAGCCUGCAUAUUUGUGAGCUUUAUAAAACAAGGUUUAAGGUUUUAUUUUUAUUGUUUGACAAAUGAAAUGGAUAGAAAAAUGCAUAUCUUGUCUUCAUUAAAGCAAAGAUCAAAAAGAUUUAAAUUAUAAAAUUCUGAAUUUCUAAAGUUGUCUGCAAAUACAACUUCCAAAACAGUUAUCCAGAAAUCUACAAUUAGGAUUCGGAGGCAAUAUCACAGAACUUUAACUGGAAAGCCAGGUACCCAUGAAGUCUGCACUACAGCUCACCAUGAAGUCUGCACUACUGUUUAAUAUAAAACAGCAGGAACCUAAAUCUGUUUGGAUCAAAAACUCACAUUUUGUUGUGUGGAAUUUUCAGUUUGGUCAGAUAAGUACCCACAGUGCUAUGCUUUCUCUGAAACACUAUUGCUAUGUUUUUUGGCAAUAUUCAAUAUGUGAUCUGUUCAUUUUUUGCAUGAAAAGCAGCAUAGUUAUUGAAUGAUGUUAUGACUUCUCAAAGCAAAAAGUUGAUUUGAACCGAUAAUGCAAAUGUAGCUACAAAGAAAAAUCAAGAUUGACUACAUCCCCAUGACAGGUUCCCUUAAGUCAUUCCUCCUAGCUCCCCAACUUACUUCCCUGUUUCAAAAAGAACCGAAUCCCCUCUAUUUCCUUUUCAGAAAUGAGCAGGCCCCCAAGAGAAGAUAGCUAAACAGGAUAAAGCAAGAUACAAGACAAGGCAAAAUCCCUCAUAUUGGGGCUGGACAAGGCAACCCAACUGGAGGAAAAAGCAGCUCAAUUACCUGACUGGUCCAUUGUUCUGGGGAUUGUAAUCAAGGUGGAACUCAAUAGAAGUCAGAAGUAUUGAGAGGAUGAUAACUCUUGUAAAGGUAGGUGACAUAUCUUAUUAAGGAUAUGUGCCUUUAAGUCCAAUGUAAAUACUUCAAAGAACAAAAUCCAUAUAAUACUUUAAAAUAUUUAUUUCAUUCUAAACUGGAAUAUUAAAGUUUUUAUGUAUUUAUAUAAGGUUAUUCUAGAUAAUAAAACCAUGAAGCUGAUGUGAUAUUUUCUUUUUCCUGUGAGUCUAUUUUAUCUCUUUAUUUGGUUUUCCUCAGACCUUUUAAAUAUAUUGAUUUGAGAAAACCUGGUGGGUUUCUUUCUCUUAAAAAAAAGGAAUGCUGUCCUUUUUCUACCAUCUGUUUUAUGAUACUCUUUCUUCCCUCUCAUAAUUGGUGACUGUAUUUGUGCACAGUCACAUGUGUCUCAUUAUGAUGGCAAAUAUCAGAAGGAGCUUUUUAAUGAGAAAACAGAAAGUAACACACUUUCUUGUCUUUAUUCUUUUUAUUAUGUUCAAUUGCUUCUGUUGCUGGCAACUCCAAGCUGCUUUUCCUUGGGGAUGGCAGGGAUCUACACCCUGAUAUUUAAACACUUAGUUAACCUUCAUGGACACAGCAAUUAAAUUGCUUUUGUGACACUUCCCAGCUGUAAUGGUAGAACUAAACUGAGGAUGUAGGGAAAACAUCCUUGGUAUUCACUGCUCCUGAUCAGUGAUCAAUUAAGACUAACCAUUACUGUAGAAGCCAAGAAAGAAAAGGUUAGAGGGCUAAGGCAAGCAAGUCAUUAAACUCAUAUGCCUUUAUGGAUUUUGCUAUGGUGUUUGUAUCAAUUCUCCAUGCAUGACUCUAAAUGAAGACUUUAUUUCAGUGUGUCUUUUGUGAUGUUAUGUUAUUCAAAGCAAUGUGGACUUCAAUAUCAUUCUAUAAAAUUAUCAUGUAAUUUCAACUGUCAGCCUGAGUAAACACUGGGCAGCAGGCUGAUAGAUCUCCAAAUAAGACAAAAUAUGAACCAAAAUGAACUGUUUUAUGUUUCAGGGUGGAUCUCUGUCCCCUUUGGUCAUCUGUUUUUUUACUAAUAAUAGUCAUCAAUAUUUAAUUUUUUUAUUUAGGAAGUAGCUUAUCUUGAUGUUAAAAAUAUGACUUCUUAAAAAGAUGUAUUUAUUCUUAAAUCUUCAUUCAUGAAUAAUUUUGGAAUAAUAUUUUCACUAUGUAUUAUACAUAUUAUAUAAAUGAAUAUUCCUGUUAAUGCCUGUCUUGGGAAAUUGCCUUCUUAAAUCUCAUGAUUGCUACGAGUCUUAGUUGAGGUCCUCCUGUGGAUUCCUGAGAAUCCACCAGUUUUCUCCCUAAAACCGUGGGAGAUUGCAGGGGACUGAACUAGGCUGUCCAUAUGUGGGAGUCAGUUGUAAAGUUUGGACUAUCACGGGGGCUCCUGGCAGCAGGACCACAAUAGAAAAUUGGUGCAUUGGGCUACCUCUGUGGAUCCCAUUUCCUAUGGUGGGAUGCCAUGCUCAGCUUUAACGUAUGGGAGUGGGGCCUAUAGUCAGAUUAUGUUGACUCAUCAUGGGAGCCAUUAUCUAUGAG